GACGAACGCUGGCGGCGUGCUUAACACAUGCAAGUCGAACGGAAAGGCCCUGCUUUUGUGGGGUGCUCGAGUGGCGAACGGGUGAGUAACACGUGAGUAGCCUGCCCUUGACUUUGGGAUAACUUCAGGAAACUGGGGCUAAUACCGGAUAGGAGCCCCUGCUGCAUGGUGGGGGUUGGAACGUUUCGGCGGUUGGGGAUGGACUCGCGGCUUAUCAGCUUGUUGGUGGGGUAGUGGCUUACCAAGGCUUUGACGGGUAGCCGGCCUGAGAGGGUGACCGGCCACAUUGGGACUGAGGUACGGCCCAGACUCCUACGGUAGGCAGCGGUGGGGAAUAUUGCACAAUGGGCGGAAGCCUGAUGCAGCAACGCCGCGUUCGGGAUGACGGCCUUCGGGUUGUAAACCGCUUUCGCCUGUGACGAAGCGUGAGUGACGGUAAUGGGUAAAGAAGCACCGGCUAACUACGUG
rnacentral:rRNA from 1 species